rnacentral:tRNA from 1 species
AGAGAAUUGAUCGAGUGGUUUAAGAUGAUAAGCUUGAGUCUUAUUUGGUCAGAAAUGAUCACAUCCGUUCGAAUCGGAUAUUCUCUG